CUUCCUUUCAUAUCAAAAAUUCUUGAAACAGCAGUUGUCAAACAGCUAACAGAUCAUCUGCAGAGGAAUGGCUUAUCUGAAGAGUUUCAGUCAGGUUUCAUAGCUCAUCACAGCACAGAAACAGCUUUAGUGAAGGUUACAAAUGAUUUAAAUUCCCGGUUAUUGUUGACCGAGCACACCGCUCGUUGAGACCUCCACCGGCGGCGGGCGCAGCACCAAGACCAUUUAUCGCACGAAUCCACUUUUAUCGGGAUAAAGAACUCAUUCUGUGGCUGCGAAGAGACCGAGCGUUGGAAUACCAGGGCCACAAGGUGCUCAUCUUUCCGGAUUACACACCGGAGGUGAGGAAGCAACGACGUGAGUUCAGCGAGGUGUUGAAGACAUUGCGGGAGAAAAAAAUGGAACACAGUCUUCGGUAUCCAGCUAAACUUCAUGUGAAAUACAAUGGACAUCUGAAGGUCUUUGCUACAUCGGACAUGGCUGGUGAGGACAUGAGGAGGAAACAGUGGGAGCUGUGUGAGGCUACUAAAGGCAGUGGAUCCCUCAGCAGCUGGAUUACAAAGAGCACAGUCUCACAUCAACACAGCCCUGCCCUCCAGCACUAUCAGCAGCAGGAGCAGCAGCAACCCCUCAACAGCAACAUUGUACCCAUCAGACACUGAAAUAAGCGUGCUCAACUCUUCUUUUUGAUUCUCUCGAUCGAAUUGACAUCUCGGAUUUGGACAACUUUGUUUUCCGGAACUCACCGAGUUCUUCUCCACCAGUGCUCCAGCGAGCAACAGGCAAGAUUUGCUCUCCGCGGUCGGUCCUCGUGCUCCUGCCCAUCCAAGCACCAUCCCGAGCAGCGCUUCUUCUCCGCCAUCGGGCACACGAAAUGCACCACGCCUGUCUUUGAGAUCCAAUCAUGGGCAUCUCACAAGGAGGAACAGGAGGACCGGUUGGACCGCAAGGACAAGGAGCACAAGGCAAAAACGCAGACAAAACCAGCUCGCUUCUAUCGCUCUUCGAGCAGUAUGUCUGGUCGCUGAAUUAGUUCAGCUCAUCAUAUAAAAAGUUUUUUUUUUUUCAUUUUGCUUUUUCAAACAAACUGUGUUUUUUUUUAAAAAUAUAUUCUUGUUAUACAAUAAAAAUGGAUAACCAGGAACAAGAUAUUACAGACCCAUUUCUUGCUUUAGAAACAGCGUUAGCUAGGUUAAAUGAAAAUACUCAUCAUCAUUCACAGAAUACACCUCCACAAAACCAUGAGCAACCUGAUGUGAUCAAUAAUAAUAAUAAUGACCCUUUAGAAAUGCUUAAUUUAGCUCUUGCACGAUUAGCCCCUAGUGAAAGUGCCCCGCAAAAUAACUCUCAGAAUUUA
ensembl:lncRNA